GUGGAUUAGAUACCCUGGUAGUCCACGCCGUAAACUAUGGAUGCUAGCCGUCGGCAAGCUUGCUUGUCGGUGGCGCAGCUAACGCAUUAAGCAUCCCGCCUGGGGAGUACGGCCGCAAGGUUAAAACUCAAAGGAAUUGACGGGGGCCCGCACAAGCGGUGGAGCAUGUGGUUUAAUUCGACGCAACGCGAAGAACCUUACCAGCUCUUGACAUGUCCGGUCGGUUUCCAGAGAUGGAUUCCUCCUAGCAAUAGGUCGGAACACAGGUGCUGCAUGGCUGUCGACAACU
rnacentral:rRNA from 1 species